rnacentral:rRNA from 1 species
UACGUAGGGUGCAAGCGUUGUCCGGAAUUAUUGGGCGUAAAGAGCUCGUAGGCGGUUUGUCGCGUCUGUCGUGAAAGUCCGGGGCUCAACUCCGGAUCUGCGGUGGGUACGGGCAGACUAGAGUGAUGUAGGGGAGACUGGAAUUCCUGGUGUAGCGGUGGAAUGCGCAGAUAUCAGGAAGAACACCCGUGGCGAAGGCGGCUCUCUGGAGCGCAACUGACGCUGAGACGCGAAAGCGUGGGGAGCAAACAGG